UAGGAAUCUGCCCGAUAGUGGGGGAUAACGUGGGGAAACCCACGCUAAUACCGCAUACGUCCUACGGGAGAAAGCAGGGGAUCUUCGGACCUUGCGCUAUCGGAUGAGCCUAUGUCGGAUUAGCUAGUUGGUGAGGUAAUGGCUCACCAAGGCGACGAUCCGUAGCUGGUCUGAGAGGAUGAUCAGCCACACUGGGACUGAGACACGGCCCAGACUCCUACGGGAGGCAGCAGUGGGGAAUAUUGGACAAUGGGGGAAACCCUGAUCCAGCCAUGCCGCGUGUGUGAAGAAGGCCUUCGGGUUGUAAAGCACUUUCAGCGAGGAAGAAGGCCUGAGGGUUAAUACCCUUCAGGAAGGACAUCACUCGCAGAAGAAGCACCGGCUAACUCCGUGCCAGCAGCCGCGGUAAUACGGAGGGUGCGAGCGUUAAUCGGAAUUACUGGGCGUAAAGCGCGCGUAGGUGGCUUGAUAAGCCGGUUGUGAAAGCCCCGGGCUCAACCUGGGAACGGCAUCCGGAACUGUCAGGCUAGAGUGCAGGAGAGGAAGGUAGAAUUCCCGGUGUAGCGGUGAAAUGCGUAGAGAUCGGGAGGAAUACCAGUGGCGAAGGCGGCCUUCUGGACUGACACUGACACUGAGGUGCGAAAGCGUGGGUAGCAAACAGGAUUAGAUACCCUGGUAGUCCACGCCGUAAACGAUGUCGACUAGCCGUUGGGUUCCUUGAGAACUUUGUGGCGCAGUUAACGGGAUAAGUCGACCGCCUGGGGAGUACGGCCGCAAGGUUAAAACUCAAAUGAAUUGACGGGGGCCCGCACAAGCGGUGGAGCAUGUGGUUUAAUUCGAUGCAACGCGAAGAACCUUACCUACCCUUGACAUCGUGCGAACUUGGUAGAGAUACCUUGGUGCCUUCGGGAACGCACAGACAGGUGCUGCAUGGCUGUCGUCAGCUCGUGUUGUGAAAUGUUGGGUUAAGUCCCGUAACGAGCGCAACCCUUGUCCCUAUUUGCCAGCGAUUCGGUCGGGAACUCUAGGGAGACUGCCGGUGACAAACCGGAGGAAGGUGGGGACGACGUCAAGUCAUCAUGGCCCUUACGGGUAGGGCUACACACGUGCUACAAUGGUCGGUACAAAGGGUUGCAAUGCCGCGAGGUGGAGCUAAUCCCAUAAAGCCGAUCUCAGUCCGGAUCGGAGUCUGCAACUCGACUCCGUGAAGUCGGAAUCGCUAGUAAUCGUGAAUCAGAAUGUCACGGUGAAUACGUUCCCGGGCCUUGUACACACCGCCCGUCACACCA
rnacentral:rRNA from 1 species